rnacentral:rRNA from 1 species
UACGUAGGUGGCAAGCGUUGUCCGGAUUUACUGGGCGUAAAGGGUGCGUAGGCGGACAUUUAAGUCAGAUGUGAAAUACCCGAGCUUAACUUGGGUGCUGCAUUUGAAACUGGGUGUCUAGAGUGCAGGAGAGGUAAGUGGAAUUCCUAGUGUAGCGGUGAAAUGCGUAGAGAUUAGGAAGAACACCCGUGGCGAAGGCGGCCCACUGGGCCGGUGCUGACGCUGAGGCGCGAAGGCGUGGGGAGCGAACGGG